ensembl:lncRNA
UGGAGCCCCAAGUCUCCGGUCUUCUCACCUGAAGCGUUCACAGGGAAAGUGGGCAUACUCAGAUGGAAUGUCACAGGGCUCAGACCCCCCCAGGACAAGCUCUCCUUUACAGAAGCGGCCAGAGGACCUGAGGUUUAGCCGUGUUUUCACUAUAACCUGACUCCAUCACGAACGGUUCGGACUCGUCAGAACUGAAGGGCACCUGUAUUUCAAGACGGAGAAGCAGUAGGCCGGGGGCGUAAGGACUCGUGCCCACGGCUGAGUCGGAGCGCAGGGGCCAGUCACCCCGAAAAGAUCCACUCCCGAGUCCCCGGCCUUUCCACCCGCUGGGUUUGAACCCGCGGCGCGCGUGGACCUUGCGGUCCUGGACCCACGCCGGCGGCUCCGUGCAGGCGCGCCUCCCCAGUCGGCUCUGCGGGACCGAAGCGCGGGGAGUCUCCGUUCCCCCUCCGGGGGGUUAUAGCGAACCCGGGAGCACUGGGGGGAAAUUGUCUUUCGCUUCCCCGCCCGCCUGCUCGGAUGGGCGCCCCAGGAACCCGCUCCGGGCCGGCAUCCCUCCACUGUUCGCUGGUCGGCUCUCCCUCUGGGACCGCGCAGGGUGGAGGCGGCCCGGGGAGGACCGCCCGAGGGCGCGCAGGGGCGGGGUGCCUGGGGCGGGGUG